rnacentral:rRNA from 1 species
CCUACGGGAGGCAGCAGUGAGGAAUAUUGGUCAAUGGGCGGGAGCCUGAACCAGCCAAGUCGCGUGAGGGAAGACGGUCCUACGGAUUGUAAACCUCUUUUGCCGGGGAGCAACGGGGUCCUUGCGAGGGCCCGAUGAUAGUACCCGGAGAAAAAGCAUCGGCUAACUCCGUGCCAGCAGCCGCGGUAAUACGGAGGAUUCGAGCGUUAUCCGGAUUUAUUGGGUUUAAAGGGUGCGUAGGCUGUUGGAUAAGUUAGAGGUCAAAUGUCGGGGCUUAACCCCGUGCCUGCCUCUGAUACUGUUCGACUAGAGAGCGGAUGCAGCAGGCGGAAUGAGUAGUGUAGCGGUGAAAUGCUUAGAUAUUACUCAGAACACCGAUUGCGAAGGCAGCUUGCUAAUCCGCAUCUGACGCUGAUGCACGAAAGCGUGGGUAGCGAACAGGAUUAGAUACCCUGGUAGUC